GGCUUCAGCUUGUCGUCUGGACACACGCACGCACACACACACGCGCGCGCGCACACACACGCACACGCACACAGACAAGAGCGGCGACAGUGUUAGCGAAGACAUCCACACAAACUUACUUUGAUGUAUACAACAGCCCAAAAAAAGAAAAUACAUUUCAUAAAUAAAUAAAUAAAUAAAUAAUAAUUUGAAUAAUUUAGAGCUCAUCGUGACAAAAAGAGAACAUACAUUAUCAGUUGAAGAACAUCUUCAUCUUUGUCUCGUGAUGUUAAACCUUCAAAUAAUUUCAUUUAAGUACGAAAUGUUCCCCUAUUUUGUUUUUUUCGAGUACUUCUGAAUUUAAAGUAACAUAAGGUGUUUGGGCUUCAUACUCGUCAUUGGGGGGGGGGGGUGAAUUUCAUAAAUAACAUUUUAAUCCAUGUUUAAACUGAGCUCACGGGCGUGCACACACAUAUUCAAAUCCUCAGUGAGGAAAAGUAACGGAACUUUGAACAAAUUGCGGCUACCGCAUUGUUACACCACACGCGGCUUUCGGAAAUAGCAGCUCAAUUAUAAAGCUGGGACUGAAAAUGUACGAAAGAAAAACGUGGUUGCGGACGCUCUGAAGCCGCAAAUUGCGCACAAAGAAAAGCGCAAAGAUUGUUGUGGGAGCAGCUGAUCAUCUAAGUUUAAAAUGACAAGAGGUUGCGUCCGCUGUUUUGCAGCAUGGCACAAGUGGGCAUUAAGUUGACCGCCCGGGCAGACCAGCGUUGUCUGGUCCUCUCCGAGCAGAGCGGGGCUGCGCUGAGCAAAACGCCCGGCAAAGAGCGCCUGGAACCGGCGACGAGGAAAAGCCCACUGGAAGCCUCUGCGCAUGCAUGGAUUUUUAUUUAUUUAUUUAUUGCGAACCAACUCAUCCACCUGCGCAGUGCACACGGAGGAGAAGCCCCCUGAAACGCACGCCACCUAUCUUCACGGGAGGGGAUAAUUGAGGGGAGCCAAACGUGAGCAUCUUCUGGCUUCAACUUAUUUUUUUUAUUUCCUCUAUCCCACCCCCCGACACUCUCUUGUUGCCCCCUCCUGCUCCUCUCGCUUUCUCCAUCCUUCUCUUUUGCACAGUGAAACCAACUAUGUCCACGCUGAGUUUGUGUGUGUGUGUGUGUGUGUGUGUGUGCGUGUGUGUGCACCGGGAGAAACUUGAAGCGUCCACGCCAGCCGCAAUCACGCUGCGAGUGACGUUUUACCGGAGAGACUCAGGUGAGUCGGAUUUGAUUCCAGCCACAACUUUUCUAAUGUGAAGCAAGUCUGAGGCCGCUUUUAGAAAGUGUAUCAGGUCCUGGGUGAAUUGUUGCCACGCGUAAUUUGCUUUUAGGGUAUUUGCAUGCGAACGAAGCCGCGCAGUUGUCGCGCUUUCUCACGCACGCGCGCGCACACUUGAACGCAACACGGCUGCAUGCAGAUCCAUUCAUCCUCCACGCCGGCCUGAAAUGCUACCUCUCGCCUUUCUCCACGCACGCGGCCUCUUGUGCGUGGGGCCGCCGCAUAUUCAGCGUGUAAACGGAUUAAGUGUGUGUGACCUUUAUAGGGUGGCGGUGUGUUUAAUGCAUAUAUGUUGUUAAUUGAGAAGGGCGUUGCUGGGUUAAUAUUUAUUUUGCGUAUAAAUUUGAUAAUAAAACUGUAAUUACAAGAUGAAUUGUCUGUCUGCUUGUUUAAUACAACGUUGCUGCAAAGAAAUCUGAUGGGUGUUAUUCUGUCAAAUUGAAUCAAUAUGUGCUUUAUUUCCUGAGAUUUUUAGUGUGUCUGCAGGCAGAAGACCAAGAAUAUCCCAAAUUCUCUGUAUGUCAAAGGCAGCCACAAACUUAGGUCCAAUUUCAGAGAAGCUGUGUUGAUCAAAUUGAACUUGCAGCACAAGAUGACAGCAAGGAAGCAACACAUAAAUUUCAAGGUCAGAGGUCAAGAAUGCACAACAAGUGCUCAGAAUAAAUUGUGCAGAUGCAAUCUGUGGUGGAUUUUUCCUCUCGUCAAAGAUGCCCUCACCUGAGCAAAAUGCACAAAUAUGAGCGUGUGAUGCCGGCUGAUUCUCUUAUGAAUAAAUUCAUACAAGGGUUUGUGUUGCUGUAUGUAGAGUGGCUGCACGCCAAAUGAAGACGCCGCAGCAGCCACAGCCCCAAGACAAGGCUCAGCCGCCACUCAUCUACCAUUAUAGGCCCAAUUUAGACGACUGGGAGUCACACAAGAAUCACAGAAAUUUGGGAGAGUAAAAGUCCACAUUGGUGACUUAAUCUCUGGAUCUCAGUUCAUCUCAAAUGUGGAGAGUCAUGGUCAAAAAUGUACAUUGGGAUAUAAUGAGACACUUGAGUCAUGUUUAGGUUACAGCAGUGAUUCCCAACUCCUAUGUUGUGACAGACCAUCAGGCGUGCCACAGGGAAUUAUUCAAUUUCACUGAAUUGGUCUGAAAUGUAUUUAUGUGUAAAUAGUCAAAUAAUCUCUCAAUAAUAAUCUUUCUUCAUCUACCAUGAGAGUCAUGCAUAGUGACAUGCAGAUUAAAUCUCUUCCACUUGAUGGCAGAAGGUACAAUUAACCUGUGUAUGACUUUUUUGUUACAAUUUGGUUUGGUGGUGUGCUGUGAGAUUUUUUUCUCGAGUAAAAUGUCUGCCUUGGCUCAAUUAAGGUUAGGAAACAAUUGUAGCAAUUCUAUAGUGAUCAAUGCUUAUUUUUCCUCAAAAGGAAAGGUUUGGCCUGUGACAUGACGAUUAACCUCCACAGCUCCUGAAGGCCAGGUGUUUGUUUUUUUUGAUGAGAAUAGUGGUCGGAUGGACGAGCAUUUGAAUGCACCACAGCUAGGCUCCAGCAUCCCACAUUUCAUCUCCACACUGUGCUUGUUUGCGUCUAUUCCAGCUUUGCAACAUCAAACUGAGCAUCUCUCGACGGGCUUCGGCUCUGUUAGCCGCCAACGCCACGCCGCAGAGAUUGACGGACAAUUAAAGAGCAGAAGGCGACUGCCGGGGCGUGUGAUGUGUAAGGGAUCCUCCAACAUGUAAAAUAAAGAGUUUACAUUGGUUUCUGAUCUCCCUCGCUCGGACAAGAAGGAGAAGAAGCUAGCCGAGGCACAAACAAAUAUUUGCACUGAGAGCUAUUGAUUUUGCAUCUUCUCAGCUAUUCACUUACUCACAGUGCGCUGCCACCACCAGACACACACGCACACACACACACACACACGCACACACACACACACACACACACACUGAUACAAACAGCUGCAUGUGAAAUGAAGCCGCUGAUGCUGGAUUGAGUAAAUAAAGAAUUUAAGAAAACUGUACAUUCUGCAGACCUUCAAUGAUAACUUCACUUUAUUAGGGAAUCCACCUUGCUGCUUACCACGACAUCAGCAGUCAUGCGCAAGGAAAGUCACAAAGAGUCAAUUUGAUUUUGUGUGUUUGACAAAUAAAAGGCUUACGAUUCAGGGUUUGAUGGAUCCCGUAAGGAAACUUUUUACUUGCGGAGAAGAAAAAAAAAGCACAACUUUAUCGCUUGCCCCAAUGAAUAAUUGACAGUGUCUCCGCUGAAUAAUUAAUCAAACAUUUGAAUAAUUGUUGUAUCUCUCAUUUCAACAUUCAUUUGCAUAUUGCCAUGCUCUUAAUACGAGUGCACAUCCUCUCAGGACACAAAGACACCAUGAAAGGAACAAAUGUAUAUUUGCAGGAACCUUGUCCCACAUUUCCACUUCACGGCCUCAAAAACAUUUUUAGUGAGGAUAAAAAAAGUAAGAUUGGGCAGAUGCGUCCGAGUGAGACAUGUUGCAUUCUAUAUAAUCUGCAGAAUAUCUUAAAAUCCCUGCGGGAACAACUUAGUUUAAGACAUUUUCAACACUACAAUAGCACUCAGUGGGGCACAGACAUACACCAGGGCUGAACAAUUUGGAUCAUGUCUAUUGCCAAAAAUGCAUAUAAUAAAAACAAGGAAUGUGCAUAAAGGUAUAAAGAGACCAAUCAUUAAAAAUUUAAAUAGGGCAUAAAUGAAAAAAAAAGACAAUAAUACAAAUGUGAGAAUAAUAACAAUUACCAUUGGAAAGAAAAUGGCAAUAAACCUCUCAGCGAAUAUACUGUACAUUAUAAGUUAAACAAGUAUUGCAAAGACAUUUGGAGUCUAUGUUGGCAGUCAUGCAAAUCAGCACCAAACUGUACAGUUAUACAGCAUCUAAGAUACACACCUCCUUUUUUUUGCAGUCAUUAACAUAGCUAAAAAAAAAAAAAAAAAUCUGCAGUAAACACCAGAUCUGAAAAAUUUAUUUGCCACAAAACUUCAGGAUAGAAAGGAACAAUGAUGAAAACACGGGUGUAAAAAAAACAGUGCUAUCUGAUGGCUCUACAAACACCAGACACAUACAUACAUUCAUACAAUCAGGCAUACACAUGUAAAUAUUCAUUCAUUCAUUCAUCUUCCAUUCCGCUUCUCCUCAC